AAAAUGGACUUCUUCCUCAUAUGAUGACACCAGGAAUGACUUCAGGUGAGAUUCUGACCCAGCUCCCUGUCUACAGACCCAUGGCUUUAUAUUGGAGGCUGCAAAGUUUAACACUUUCAUGAUCAUGCAAGUGGCAGACACACUCUCCUUACAACUGGGUUACACACAAAUGGUAACAGAAGGUAUGUGCCUGCAGAAAACACGGGAGACUGAGCAUGGACCCUCUCCACAGACCACACCAGCGAGAAAGAGGACCUGGAGUCAAAUUAUCAUGGAUAGCCCUAGGCCACUGGGCAAGAUGAAAUGAGCACAUGAUUCCUGGCACAAUACUCAAUGCCUAAUGGGUGAUCAGGACAAGAUGUUUGUUUUGGGGCUCAAACUGAACCAUCAGUUCUUCUUGGCUUUUGGGCUGGAAUUACACCAUCAGUUGUCCUGGAUCUCCAGCUUGCUGACUGUUGAUCUUGGAAUGUCUCAGUAUCCAUAACCAUGUGGUAACCAGACCACACAGAUGUGAGAAGCCAAGAUGAGCCAGAAACUACCCAGGGGAACUUGGAUGUCAAGAGAUGGGUAAGAGAAUGGGGUCAAGAUCAAGCAGAUUUCCAGACUUCAGAGUUCCAGAGGUGUCAUGCCGUAAGAAAGUUGGGGAAAGGAGUGGUGGGAAAGCCAAAGAGGCAAGCAAGAAAGGCUUCACAAAGCCUCAGGAUGAGAGGACUUUGAAACUGUAGGCAAGUUAUGACCUAAAAAGAAGUUUUCACCCAAAAGGCCAAGAGCCAGCAACUGACUACUGCAAUGGGAAGGAGGAAGGAAAGGAGUAGUAACUAAGUGCUUUGAAUGACAUGUGCUUAGAGUUCACAAUGUGGAUAGAGAUCUGUGCUCAUCCUGCUUAAUGAUACUUUACCAUUGCCUAGCAGGAAGGAGAGAAUGCUUUAAUUAGUGGAGAAGCCCCUCUAAAUCUUUAAAUCCCAUUUCCAACAUAAAUUUCUAAUGUUCACAAUCUGCUUUCUAGAUUUUUUCCCAUUCCCAGAAUUUCCUUGUCACUAAGUGAAGAACUCUGGUCAGAUUCCUUCCUUCAUUCCACAUUGUAUACUUAGUUACUGAGGAUCUCUGUGUCUUCUUCAUCCUGGAUUCUUCACUGGAAAAGUUUGCCUCUCACUGACAGACAUCUCAGAUAACCCUGUAGAUCUCAGUGAUUGAGCUAAGAGGAUCUGGGUUUUCACCUCCUUCUGCCACAUUACCUAUUUGCAUAGUCCAGCCCAUUACCUUGUGGUUAGCAUUUCUAAUGGUAGGAUAUCUUUUCUAACAUUGUGUCUAGCUGAAUAGGAUCUUAUACAAGAUUAAUGAGGAAGACUUCGUUUAUAAAAUAGGGGUCUUACAUGCCUUCGAGUAUCAUGAAAUGUUCUGUGUUACCUGAUGUUGAGACCUAGGUGCCAACUCCCUCUUUUCUUGGUUCUCGGUUGGACAGCCGUUUCCUGGGCUCCUUGUUCCAAAUAUCUACACUUGAUCUCUCUGGCUACUUUGCCUAGAAUAUCCUCCUCUGUCUAAUAAGUCUGUGGCUCUGCAAUGACUUG